CAGCAGACCCUUAUGUCAGCCAGGUCUCUUCCUUGUGGGAGCCCAGAGUGCAACAGCUGCAAACAGCAGCCUGCUCGGCAGGUCUAUCCAUCCUGCUACUUCUGCAGGUUGUUCCUAGUGACCUUGGAGACAGCC
rnacentral:snoRNA from 1 species